ACAACUCACUGUUUUGAUGCUUGAAACCAUUGGGAUUGAAAUGGACUCGGUACUUGCGUUGUCAUUCUUGGCCUCGUCUUGAUAUGGUGUCUGGUUUCCUAACAGCUGGAACCUUCGUGAUUGAAUCUGAUACUGAACUUGCACCCAAAACUGCAUGUGUCUUAUGCCAUUAACCAUGUGCCUCUUCACACUCUGAUUCAAUAACCUCUCGCAUGCUGCACUUUUCACUAUAAUUACCCCAUCUAAAGUGCUCAUGGUCAGCAACCCGUCUUCAUCUUUUGGAGCUUCACUUCCCUCACAUGUUAUAGUUCCCAGGGCUUCAAAUUUCAUCUCCAGGACUAAUUUUCAUGCCUUAGUUUUCCUUUCUUAUGCUCAUUUGUACUUUUAUUAACCGUUGGCAGUGAUAAGCAUUUUGAACUUUGUGUUUUACUUGUUUUGUGAUUCUUGCUUUGUUUUAAAAUAGUUCCAAUUAUUUUGGUCAAGCUUGAAUGUUUUCCGAAUAUGAACAUAAUUUAUAUAAUGGGAUACAUAGUUGUGUUUACUUC